CCUGGGAACUGCGUUNUGAACUGGGUGACUAGAGUGUGUCGGAGGGAGGUAGAAUUCCACGUGUAGCAGUGAAAUGCGUAGAGAUGUGGAGGAAUACCGAUGGCGAAGGCAGCCUCCUGGGAUAACACUGACGUUCAUGCCCGAAAGCGUGGGUAGCAAACAGGAUUAGAUACCCUGGUAGUCCACGCCCUAAACGAUGUCGAUUAGCUGUUGGGCAGCAUGACUGCUUAGUAGCGAAGCUAACGCGUGAAAUCGACCGCCUGGGGAGUACGGUCGCAAGAUUAAAACUCAAAGGAAUUGACGGGGACCCGCACAAGCGGUGGAUGAUGUGGAUUAAUUCGAUGCAACGCGAAGAACCUUACCUGGUCUUGACAUGUACGGAACCCUCCAGAGACGGAGGGGUGCCUUCGGGAGCCGUAACACAGGUGCUGCAUGGCUGUCGUCAGCUCGUGUCGUGAGAUGUUGGGUUAAGUCCCGCAACGAGCGCAACCCUUGUCAUUAGUUGCCAUCAUUAAGUUGGGCACUCUAAUGAGACUGCCGGUGACAAGCCGGAGGAAGGUGGGGAUGACGUCAAGUCCUCAUGGCCCUUAUGACCAGGGCUUCACACGUCAUACAAUGGUCGGUACAGAGGGUAGCCAAGCCGCGAGGUGGAGCCAAUCUCACAAAACCGAUCGUAGUCCGGAUCGCACUCUGCAACUCGAGUGCAUGAAGUCGGAAUCGCUAGUAAUCGCAGGUCAGCAUACUGCGGUGAAUACGUUCCCGGGUCUUGUACACACCGCCCGUCACACCAUGGGAGUGGGGGAUACCAGAA
rnacentral:rRNA from 1 species